UCUCUUUCCUGGUUGGCACACUGACUCUGUUCUGAAGGGAAACAUGGAGAUUUCCCCUUCAGAGAGCCAACAAUAAGGCACAUUCUCCCAUGAGUCCUGGCCAUACUCUGCCCAGGAUAUCUGUGGUAGAUAGCGUUCUAAGAACUCCAUGGCCGAGAAGUGUGGAGUGACAACGCAGGGUAGCAACAGUCAAAAAGCUCAUUGACUGGCAUUGGUCUGAACCCCCUACAAAGUACCUCCCUCAGUGAGUCCCAGCUUAGAUGGAUCCUCCUGGAUGGGGCCUUGGCCUGAAAAAUCCCAGCAUUCUCCCUGUGUCUCUCUACCUGAUUUAGACCAAAUGGCAUUUCCAUGCAAGACUCCAAGUGCCUGGAAAUGUUGUUAAAGAAUUGCAGAGCUAGGUUAAGGACCAAAUAAAGGGAAACUUCAUCUUGCCUGCACAUCAACACCAUGAAACGCGUUGUUACAACAGUGACCGAAGCUGUC
rnacentral:lncRNA from 1 species